AAUUGACCGAAUCAACCAUAUUUCAAAUCCUCUAAAAAUAUCAUAGAAGACUUGGCAGAAGAUCCAAGAUCAAUCCAAAAUAGUACUAUUAUGUUUAUUUGACCUUUGAGCAAAUAAAUCAUAAUUUAAUAUAGGUGGAGGGGAAAAAAAGGAGUCUCUCUGUUCCAAUAUAGUACUUGCUAAAAAUCCUACUUCACUUUUAAGAGUUUCAAUUCAAGAAGCUAAACAUAUUUGCUAUAUCUGAAGCAUAAUAAAUAGGUAAUUCUCUGGUAACAUGGCAGAAGCGUUCAUCGAAGUUUUAUUACAAAAUCUGAGCUCUUUUAUUCAAAAGGAGCUAGGAUUGCUUUAUGGCGUCGAUGAAGAAUUAAGAAAGCUUUCAAGCUUGCUAUCGACAAUCAAUGCUGUCCUCCAGGAUGCUGAUCAGGAACAACUGAAAGAAAAGGCAAUAAGAAACUGGUUGCAGAAGUUAAACUGUGCUACUUAUGAAGUUGAUGAUGUCUUGGAUGAAUGUGCAGGGAAAGCCAUCAGGUUGCAGGGAAAAGCCCGAAGAAAUGGAUGCAUUUCCAUGCCAUCUGGUUUUUCUUUUGAGAAUAUUUUGUUUCGUCGUCAGAUAGGGCAAAAGGUUAAAGAUGCCAUCAGGAAACUAGAUGGAAUUGCUGAGGAACGUAUUAAAUUCCAUUUGUCUGAAGUUGUGACCGCGAAGAAACAAUCCACAACAGACGAAGUACGUGAAACUGGCUUUGUUUUAACUCCGGCAGAAGUCUAUGGAAGGGACGAUGACAAAAGGAAGAUUGUUGAAAUCUUAAUGAAGCACGUCGAUGAUUUUCAAGAGCUUUUGGUUCUCCCUAUAGUUGGAAUGGGGGGUCUUGGAAAGACGACUCUUGCUCAAUUAAUUUUCAAUGAUGUGUGGGUGCACGAACAUUUCGAUUUGAAAAUUUGGGUUUGUGUGUCAUAUAAUUUUGACGAGAAGAGGUUGACAAGAGCAAUCCUAGAAGCCAUAGUUGGGAAAGAUAUAAAUGCUUCUGAGUUAGCUUCUUUACAAAGUCACCUCAUAACCUUGUUGAGAGGGAAAAGAUAUUUACUCAUUUUGGAUGAUGUUUGGAAUGAAGAUCAAGAGAAAUGGGAUAAAUUAAAAGCCUUACUAACAAUUGGAUCUAGAGGUACUUCAGUUAUUACCACUACUCGCCUAGAAAAGGUUGCUUCAAUUAUGGGAACAGUACAGCCACAUCGUUUAUCCUGCUUGUCCGCGUACGACUGUUGGUUGUUGUUCAAGCAACGUGCAUUUGGCCUAGAUAGAAAAGAGAGCCCCAAACUUGUUGAUAUUGGAAAAGAGAUUGUAAGAAGAUGUUGUGGGGUGCCUUUGGCUGCUAAAGCUCUAGGAAGUCUUUUGCGCUUUAAGAGUGAUGAAAAAGAAUGGUUGUUUGUCAGAGAUAGUGAUUUUUGGAAUUUGCCACAAGAAGAAAGUUCAAUCUUGCCUGCUCUAAGGUUGAGCUAUAUUCACCUUCCUCAAGAUUUGAGAAACUGUUUUUCUUAUUGUGCUAUAUUUGAGAAGGACUCCAAAAUUGACAAAGAAGAGCUAAUUUAUUUCUGGAUGGCGAACGGAUUUAUCUCAUCCGAGGGAAAUUCGGAACCUGAGGAUAGGGGUAAUGAAGUAUGGAAUGAAUUAUACUGGAGAUCUUUGUUCCAAGAAGUUCAACAAAAUUCAGAUGGGAGGAUGUUGUUUAAGAUACACGACCUUGUUCAUGACCUGGCCCAAUCUAUAAUGGAUGAUGGAAUUCAUGCAACAAAACUUGAAGGAUGGGAAAAGAUAUCGGCGAGCAGAAUUCGCCAUGCAACAAUACAUGCAGAAGAUAAGUCAUUUCUUGCUUUUCCUAAAAGUACUAUGCCUUACAACCCUUCAACAAUCACAAUGUAUGGUUCUUUAAGGGUGUUGAUUUUUUGCUCUGUUCAGUUAAAGGAAUUGCCAUCUGCAAUCGGAAAUCUAAUACAUUUAAGGUAUUUGGACCUUUUCAGUACAUGUAUUGAGAGUCUUCCUCACAGUAUAUGUUCUCUUCAGAACUUGCAGAUGCUAAGUGUAGAAGAUUGUUGCUUUACUUCGUCUUUUACCAAAAGAUCUGAAAUAUCUGAGAAAUCUUCGACAUCUUCGGCUAAGAGGCUGUCCAUUGAGUCACAUGCCUCCUAAUAUAGGACAAUUGACACACCUCAAGACUUUAAACAAGUUUGUUGUAGGGAAGAAAGGAUGUUCCAAGCUUAGUGAAUUGCGAUACUUGAAUCUUCAGGGAGAACUAGUUAUUGAACACCUUGAGAGGGUUGAAAAUCAUAUGGAGGCGAAAGAAGCUCUAAGUUCAAAGCAAAACCUCCAAAGUUUAGCUCUGUACUGGAACCAUUCCACUGGGUGUGAGUCAUCAAAGGAUGUUGAUCUGCAGGUGCUCGAAGCGCUAGAGCCUCAUUCCAACCUUAAGCAUUUGAAGGUAUCUGGUUUCAGAAGUACAACCUUGGCAAGUUGGAUGAGGGCUUCAGUUUUGGAAACCAUCAUUACCAUUUAUCUUCAUGAUUGUAAAUACUGCUCACAUCUCUCUCCACUAGUACAGCUUCCUUGUUUGAAAUUUCUUUCGCUGAGGGGAAUUCAUGCGGAGUACAUUGACAGUGACCUUGAAAGCGGAAUAUCCCGAUUAAGAAAGUUCCCAUCCUUGGAAUCACUUGAGAUGUGCAACCUCCCGAAUUUAAAAGGAGUUUCAAUCGAAGAAGGAGAAGAACUUUUUCCAAGUCUUCGCGAAAUAUGGAUCGAAGACUGCCCUUUGCUGACAUUUCCGCGUCUUUUAUCACUCAGAAUUUUGAGAAUUAUGACAUGCUCGAACACGACGCUAGCCUCUAUCUCUAAUCUUUGCGGUCUCACCUCCUUAACAAUUGAUAACAACAAGGAACUAACUUCUUUACCUGAAGAGAUGCUAACAAACCUCACCAAUCUUGAAAUACUGUCGAUAAGGACUUUCACAAAGCUGGAAGUACUGCCUAACAGCCUGGCAAGCCUCACUGCAUUGAAGUCCUUGCUUAUUGGUUACUGCAACCAACUAGAGUCUCUACCAGAUCAGGGAUUGCAAGGCCUCACCUCAGUCCGUAAAUUGUCAAUCAACCGCUCUGAUAGAUUGAAAUAUCUGUCUAAAGGAUUCCGGCACCUAGCUUCCCUGGAGGAACUGGAAAUCUUUGGGUGUCCAGAGUUGGUUUCUUUUCCAGACGAGUUUAAACACCUGAAUUCCCUUCAUCGUGUUCACCUUGAUGGCCUGUCAAUGUUCCACACGGGAGAAGACACUGUUAUUCACCCUAAGGAGUUGAUUUUGUGGCAAUUGCCUGAGGCUUUACGGCAUGUCCAUAAUCUGCAAUCUCUUUCUGUACGUAGAUUCCAAAGUUUGACUUUAUUGCCUGAGUGGUUAGGAGAACUUACGUCUCUCAAGGAACUGAACAUAUUACAGUGUGAUAAUCUUGCCUCACUGCCAGAGUCUAUGGAGAGAAUGAACCUUCAGUCCUUGAACAUUUUGGGUUGUGCAAUAUUGGAGAAGCGUUGCGAGCCGGGACAAGGAGAAGAUUGGUAUAAGAUUGCGCACAUUCCAAAAGUGAAAGUCAGUCAGCAUUGUGAUUUUUUUGGUUUCAACUUGUCAUCAGACAAGUUCAUUGGUCUAAGGCAAUUUCACUUAUAGAAGGCAUCAUUGCUGAGAUGAUAAAGUUGUAUUUUGAAUUUCGUAAUGGUACUAUUGGUGAAGUAUUGGCGGAAUAUUUAUGCUUAAUGCAGAUAUGACUACAAGUUGCUUCCACGGAACAACUUUUCAUCAAGAAGAAAAAUGCUGCUCCACGGAAAGAUCAACUGCUCUUGCUCAAAUUUCAUCUCUGUCAAAUUUGAAUAUUAAAAUAGUGUAUAUGGUCAUGAUUUAAUAGGUCAGGUCCACUUACUUUGUCUUAUGUUGAUCUGAAAUGAAGAAAAUGCUACAAUUAUGGACAUCCCAGUGGACCCCCUCGGUUUUUCGAGAGAGAAGAAAUACGAAUUGCUUUAACUUCUUAGCACUAAAGUUUGUUUUACUUCUUUCUUGAAUCUGUACUGCUUGAACUGCUAUUGGACUCCCUUUUAGCCUCA